rnacentral:rRNA from 1 species
AUUGAACGCUGGCGGCAGGCCUAACACAUGCAAGUCGAACGGUAACAGGAAACAGCUUGCUGUUUCGCUGACGAGUGGCGGACGGGUGAGUAAUGUCUGGGAAACUGCCUGAUGGAGGGGGAUAACUACUGGAAACGGUAGCUAAUACCGCAUAACGUCGCAAGACCAAAGAGGGGGACCCUCGGGCCUCUUGCCAUCGGAUGUGCCCAGAUGGGAUUAGCUUGUUGGUGGGGUAACGGCUCACCAAGGCGACGAUCCCUAGCUGGUCUGAGAGGAUGACCAGCCACACUGGAACUGAGACACGGUCCAGACUCCGACGGGAGGCAGCAGUGGGGAAUAUUGCACAAUGGGCGCAAGCCUGAUGCAGCCAUGCCGCGUGUAUGAAGAAGGCCUUCGGGUUGUAAAGUACUUUCAGCGGGGAGGAAGGGAGUAAAGUUAAUACCUUUGCUCAUUGACGUUACCCGCAGAAGAAGCACCGGCUAACUCCGUG